CCUACGGGAGGCAGCAGUGAGGAAUAUUGGUCAAUGGACGAGAGUCUGAACCAGCCAAGUAGCGUGAAGGAUGACUGCCCUACGGGUUGUAAACUUCUUUUAUAUGGGAAUAAAAUGCUCCACGUGUGGGAUUUUGUAUGUACCAUAUGAAUAAGGAUCGGCUAACUCCGUGCCAGCAGCCGCGGUAAUACGGAGGAUCCGAGCGUUAUCCGGAUUUAUUGGGUUUAAAGGGAGCGUAGGUGGAUUGUUAAGUCAGUUGUGAAAGUUUGCGGCUCAACCGUAAAAUUGCAGUUGAGACUGGCAGUCUUGAGUACAGUAGAGGUAGGCGGAAUUCGUGGUGUAGCGGUGAAAUGCUUAGAUAUCACGAAGAACUCCGAUUGCGAAGGCAGUUCACUGGACUGCAACUGACACUGAGGCUCGAAAGUGUGGGUAUCAAACAGGAUUAGAUACCCUGGUAGUC
rnacentral:rRNA from 1 species